GAUGAACGCUGGCGGCAUGCCUAAUACAUGCAAGUCGAGCGAACAGACGAGGAGCUUGCUCCUCUGACGAUUGCGGCAGGCGGGUGAGUAACGCGUGGAUAACCUACCUAGAAGACUGGGAUAACUUCGAGAAACAGGAGCUAAUACAGGAUAAUAUAUUGAACCGCAUGUUUCACUAGUGAAAGACGGUUUUGCUGUCACGUAUAGAUGGAUCCUCGCCGCAUUAGCUAGUUGGUAAGUUAACGGCUUAUGAGGGGGACGAUGCGUAGACGACCUGAGAGCGUGAUCGUGCACACUGGAACUGAGAAAGAGCACCGACUCCUACGGGAGGAAGCAGUAGAGACUCUUACGCAAUGGGCGAGAGCGUGACGUAGGAAAGCCGGGUGAGGCAUGAAGCAGUUCGGCCCGUAAAGCGCUGUUAGCCGGGGAGAAGAAAUGUGUAAGUAGCUAUGAAGGUAUUGACGUUACUUGCUCAAAAAGCCACGGCUAACUCCGUG
rnacentral:rRNA from 1 species